UGGGGAAUAUUGCACAAUGGGGGAAACCCUGAUGCAGCGACGCCGCGUGAGCGAAGAAGGCCUUCGGGUCGUAAAGCUCUUUUAUAUGGGAAGAUAAUGACGUUACCAUAAGAAAAAGCCCCGGCUAACUACGUGCCAGCAGCCGCGGUAAUACGUAGGGGGCUAGCGUUGUCCGGAAUCACUGGGCGUAAAGGGUUCGCAGGCGGCAAUGCAAGUCAGAUGUAAAAGGCAAAGGCUCAACUUUUGUAAGCAUCUGAAACUGUAUAGCUUGAGAAGUGUAGAGGCAAGUGGAAUUUUUAGUGUAGCGGUGAAAUGCGUAGAUAUUAAAAAGAAUACCGGUGGCGAAGGCGACUUGCUGGGCACAAUCUGACGCUGAGGAACGAAAGCGUGGGGAGCAAACAGG
rnacentral:rRNA from 1 species